rnacentral:rRNA from 1 species
UCGGGAAUUUUGGGCAAUGGGCGAAAGCCUGACCCAGCAACGCCGCGUGAAGGAUGAAGUCUUUCGGGAUGUAAACUUCGUAAGGAUAGGAAGAAUAAAUGACGGUACUAUUUGUAAGGUCCGGCUAACUACGUGCCAGCAGCCGCGGUCAUACGUAGGGACCAAGCGUUAUCCGGAUUUACUGGGCGUAAAGGGCGCGUAGGCGGCGCGGUAAGUCACUUGUGAAAUCUCUGAGCUUAACUCAGAACGGCCAAGUGAUACUGCAGUGCUAGAGUGUAGAAGGGGCAAUCGGAAUUCUUGGUGUAGCGGUGAAAUGCGUAGAUAUCAAGAGGAACACCGAUGGCGAAGGCAAUCCCCUGGGCCUGCACUGACGCUCAUGCACGAAAGCGUGGGGAGCAAACA